GCUGGAAUAACUCAGUUGGUAGAGUACCUCACUCGUAAUGAGGAAGCCGAGGGUUCAAGUCCCUUUUCCAGCUCCA
rnacentral:tRNA from 2 species